rnacentral:rRNA from 1 species
AUUGAACGCUGGCGGCAUGCCUUACACAUGCAAGUCGAACGGUAACGGGCCUUCGGGUGCCGACGAGUGGCGAACGGGUGAGUAAUGUAUCGGAACGUAUCUUUCAGUGGGGGAUAACGUAGCGGAAGUUACGAGAAUACCGCAUAUUCUGUGAGCAGGAAAGCAGGGGAUCGCAAGACCUUGCGCUGAUUGAGCGGCCGAUAUCAGAUUAGCUAGUUGGUGAGGUAAAGGCUCACCAAGGCGACGAUCUGUAGCGGGUCUGAGAGGAUGAUCCGCCACACUGGAACUGAGACACGGUCCAGACUCCUACGGGAGGCAGCAGUGGGGAAUUUUGGACAAUGGGGGCAACCCUGAUCCAGCCAUGCCGCGUGAGUGAAGAAGGCCUUCGGGUUGUAAAGCUCUUUCGGCCGGGAAGAAAUCGUAUCAGCUAAUACCUGGUGCGGAUGACGGUACCGGCAUAAGAAGCACCGGCUAACUACGUGCCAGCCGCCGCAGUAACAC